CUUAACUCACCCUGUUAGUGUGUGUGUGUGUGUGUGUGUGUGUGGAAGGUCAUCUAUUUUGUUGUGUUAAGAAGCAAAGGGAAAGAGAACAAGAACAUAUCAUUAGGUUUCAAGGGGGACAUUGCUAUUUUGUUUGCCCUGUUAGUGUGUGUGUGUGUGAAACAGAGAGAACAAGUGCAUAUCUAAGUUUCAAAGGGGGGCUAUGAUGCUAUUUUGUUUUGAGGUAAUAGACACAACGAUUAGUAAGUAAGGAAAGAGAGAGAGCAAGUCCAUAUCUAGGUUGCAAGGGGGGGCUAUGAUGCUAUUUUGUUUUGAGGUAAUAGACACAACGAUUAGUAAGUAAGGAAAGAGAGAGAGCAAAUGCAUAUCUAGGUUGCAAGGGGGAGCUAUGAUGCUAUUUUGUUUUGAGGUAAUAGACACAACGAUUAGUAAGUAAGGAAAGAGAGAGAGCAAGUCCAUAUCUAGGUUGCAAGGGGGGGCUAUGAUGCUAUUUUGUUUUGAGGUAAUAGACACAACGAUUAGUAAGUAAGGAAAGAGAGAGAGCAAGUCCAUAUCUAGGUUGCAAGGGGGGGCUAUGAUGCUAUUUUGUUUUGAGGUAAUAGACACAACGAUUAGUAAGUAAGGAAAGAGAGAGAGCAAGUCCAUAUCUAGGUUGCAAGGGGGGGCUAUGAUGCUAUUUUGUUUUGAGGUAAUAGACACAACGAUUAGUAAGUAAGGAAAGAGAGAGAGCAAGUCCAUAUCUAGGUUGCAA